rnacentral:sRNA from 1 species
GAGUGUGAGGGGGAUCUGACUGUAAAAUCUGUCACCCCAUUGAUCUCUAGGGUUGACUCAGCUGAUCUGGUUUCCUCCCUCACUGCUCCAUGUGUAUUCCCAUCUCAAAAAUGCUCACUUGGUUGAAGAGGAUGAACAUCCUCACUAGAGGAGGACCGUUCUUCAUUGUAGGGUUUAUGAACCACUGCGCACCCUGCGAGAAUCUCUCAACAAGACCUCU